rnacentral:rRNA from 1 species
CAGGCUUAACACAUGCAAGUCGAGGGGCAGCAUGGUCUUAGCUUGCUAAGGCCGAUGGCGACCGGCGCACGGGUGAGUAACACGUAUCCAACCUGCCGUCUACUCUUGGACAGCCUUCUGAAAGGAAGAUUAAUACAAGAUGGCAUCAUGAGUCCGCAUGUUCACAUGAUUAAAGGUAUUCCGGUAGACGAUGGGGAUGCGUUCCAUUAGAUAGUAGGCGGGGUAACGGCCCACCUAGUCUUCGAUGGAUAGGGGUUCUGAGAGGAAGGUCCCCCACAUUGGAACUGAGACACGGUCCAAACUCCUACGGGAGGCAGCAGUGAGGAAUAUUGGUCAAUGGGCGAGAGCCUGAACCAGCCAAGUAGCGUGAAGGAUGACUGCCCUAUGGGUUGUAAACUUCUUUUAUAAAGGAAUAAAGUCGGGUAUGGAUACCCGUUUGCAUGUACUUUAUGAAUAAGGAUCGGCUAACUCCGUGCCAGCAGCCGCGGUAAUACGGAGGAUCCGAGCGUUAUCCGGAUUUAUUGGGUUUAAAGGGAGCGUAGAUGGAUGUUUAAGUCAGUUGUGAAAGUUUGCGGCUCAACCGUAAAAUUGCAGUUGAUACUGGAUAUCUUGAGUGCAGUUGAGGCAGGCGGAAUUCGUGGUGUAGCGGUGAAAUGCUUAGAUAUCACGAAGAACUCCGAUUGCGAAGGCAGCCUGCUAAGCUGCAACUGGCAUUGAGGCUCGAAAGUGUGGGUAUCAAACAGGAUUAGAUACCCUGGUAGUCCACACGGUAAACGAUGAAUACUCGCUGUUUGCGAUAUACUGCAAGCGGCCAAGCGAAAGCGUUAAGUAUUCCACCUGGGGAGUACGCCGGCAACGGUGAAACUCAAAGGAAUUGACGGGGGCCCGCACAAGCGGAGGAACAUGUGGUUUAAUUCGAUGAUACGCGAGGAACCUUACCCGGGCUUAAAUUGCAGAUGAAUUACGGUGAAAGCCGUAAGCCGCAAGGCAUCUGUGAAGGUGCUGCAUGGUUGUCGUCAGCUCGUGCCGUGAGGUGUCGGCUUAAGUGCCAUAACGAGCGCAACCCUUGUUGUCAGUUACUAACAGGUUCCGCUGAGGACUCUGACAAGACUGCCAUCGUAAGAUGUGAGGAAGGUGGGGAUGACGUCAAAUCAGCACGGCCCUUACGUCCGGGGCUACACACGUGUUACAAUGGGGGGUACAGAGGGCCGCUACCACGCGAGUGGAUGCCAAUCCCCAAAACCUCUCUCAGUUCGGACUGGAGUCUGCAACCCGACUCCACGAAGCUGGAUUCGCUAGUAAUCGCGCAUCAGCCACGGCGCGGUGAAUACGUUCCCGGGCCUUGUACACACCGCCCGUCAAGCCAUGGGAGCCGGGGGUACCUGAAGUGCGUAACCGCGAGGAGCGCCCUAGGGUAAAACUGGUGACUGGGGCUAA